GAACAAAGAAUUGAGGGCAAAUCUGUAGAGUAAAGUGAAAGCAAAUUUAUUAAAAAAGUAAAGGAGUAAAACAAUGACUAUUCCACAAGCAGAGCAGCCCUGAAGGCUGCUGGUUGCCCAUUUUAUGCUUAUUUCUUGAUUAGAUGCUAAACGGUGUGGGUUAUUCGUGCCUCUCAUUUUUAGGCCAUAUAGGGUUAACUUCCUGAUGUCGCUGUGAUGUUUGUAAACUGUCAUGGUGCUGGCGGGAGCAUAGCAGCGAGGACAACCAGAGGUCACUUUUAUCACCAUCUUGGUUUUGGUGGGUUUUAGCCGGCUUCUUUCCUGCAGUCUGUUUUAUCAGCAAGGUCUUUAUGACCUGUAUCUUAUGCCUCCUAUCUUAUACCUCCUAUCUCAUUCUGUGAUUAAGAAUGGCUUAACUUACUGGGAAUGCAGUCCAGCAGGUCUUAGCCUUAUUUUAGCCAGCCUCUAUUCAAGGUGGAGUUGCUCCAGCACCUCUGACAAUAGCUCACUACGGCCUCAAACAUUUUUGUAUAGACGCGGUCUCCCUAUGUUGCCCAGGCUGAUCCCUAACUCCUGGCCUCAAGCAGUCCUCUGACCUCAGUUUCCCAAAGCAUGCGGAUUACAGGCGUGAGCCACUGUGCCCAGUCCAUUUCUUUUUAUUGCUAAGUUAUAUUCUGUUGUGUGGAUAGACCACAUUUUGCUUCUCCAUUCAUAGUUGAUGAUGGACAUUUGCAUUGCGGAGUCUCGCUCUGUCCCCCAGGCUGGAGUGCAGUGGCGCGAUCUUGGCUCACUGCAAGCUCCACCUCCCGGGUUCACGCCAUUCUCCUGCCUCAGCCUCCCAAGUAGCUGGGACUACAGGUGCCCGCCACCACGCCUGGCUAAUUUUUUGUAUUUUUAGUAGAGGCGGGGUUUCACCGUGUUAGCCAGGAUGGUCUCGAUCUACUGACCUCGUGAUCUGCCCGCCUCGGCCUCCCAAAGUGCUGGGAUUACAGGCAUGAGCCACCACGCCCAGCCUAUUUUUUUUAAAUAAAAGACUAAUAAAUUCUAUUAGUAUGAGAGCAAGGAGGAAGGCAUGGAAGGUUGUUGCACUGUCAACAUUAGUUAUGGUGGGGAGGCAGAGAAGGAGAAGAGAUGCUUUUUUUUCUUAUUUAUGUCUGAUCACUGGUUGUGGUGAAUACUUGGGAUUUCUAGGAAACAAAAAAGGGUCCAUGUAUAAGAAGAGUUUAGAAUUGAAUCAGAAUAGUGGUUAAGAACACAAAUUCUGGGCUGGGCGUGGUGGCUUACACCUGUAAUCCCAGCACUUUGGAAGGCCAAGGCGGGCAGAUCACCUGAGGUCAGGAGCUCGAGACCAGCCUGGCCAACAUGGUGAAACCUCGUCUCCACUAAAAAUACAAAAAUUAGCCAGGCUUGGUGGUGGGAGCCUGUAAUCCCAGCUACUCGAGAGGCUGAGGCAAGAGAAUCGCUUGAACCUGGGAGGUGGAGUCGAGAUCGCACCACUGCACUUGAGCCUGGGUGACAGAGCAAGGCUCUGUCUCAAAAAGAAAAGAAAGAAAGAACACAAAUUCUGGAACCAAAGACCUUGAGUUCCUGGCUCCACAACUUACUAGCCAUGUGGCAAGUUACUUAACCUCUCUGAAGUUCAAUUUCCUCAUCUGUGAAAGGAAGGCAAUAAUAGUACCUACCUCAAAGGGGUUUUUUUGUUGUUGUCGUUGUUGUUGUUUUUUGAGACAGUCUCACUCUGUUGCCAGGCUGGAGUGCAGUGGCGCAAUCUUGGCUUACUGCAACCUCCACCUCCCUGGGUUCAAGCGGUUCUCCUGCCUCAGCCUCCCGAGUACUGAGUAGCUGGGGCUACAGGCGGGCACCACCACACCCAGCUAAUUUUUUUUUUCGUAUUUUAGUAGAGACGGGGUUUCACCAUGUUAGCCAGGGUGGUCUCAAUCUCCUGACCUCGUGAUCCACCUGCCUCAGCCUCCCAAAGUGCUGGGAUUUUAGGCGUGAGCCACCGCACCCAGCCUCAAAGGGUUUUUAUGACAAUUAAAAGGGAUAAAUUUGUAAGAUGUUUAAGACACUGCCUGGCAUAUUGUAAAUGCUAAAUGUGUUAGCUCUUAUUGUUUUUAUCAUCUCGUAUUUAUCGAAUAUUUACCGUAUGCCACUCUCAUUUGAUCCUCAUAACCCCGUUUGGGAAAUACUACUAAUAUAGCUGUUUCACAGAGAUGAAAACCAAGGCUUAGAGAUUAAGCUAGAUGUCUUAGCGCCUGACUCUGAAGUUCUUCCCCUACUGCCUAUAGGGAUACUAUUGUCAGUAACAUUGUUUGUUGAACAAGUACCUAUGUGCUGGGCAUAAUGAAAAAAGUAGACAAAAAUCCUGCUUUCAGCCGGGCACAGUGGCUCAUGCCUGUAAUCCCAGCACUUUGGGAGGCUGAGACUGGUGGAUCACGAGGUCAGGAGAUCGAGACCAUCCUGGCUAACGUGGUGAAACCCCAUCUCUACUAAAAACACACACACACACAAAAAUUAGCCAGGCGUGGUGGCGGGUGCCUGUAGUCCCAGCUACUCGGGAGGCUAAGGCAGGAGAAUGGCAUGAACCCGGGAGGCAGAGCUUGCAGUGAGCCGAGAUAGUGCCACUGCACUCCAGCCUGGGCGACAGAGCGAGACUC
rnacentral:lncRNA from 10 species